UGUUUCGGCUAGGGGGUCAUCCCGACUUACCAACCCGAUGCAAACUACGAAUACCGAAGAAUGUUAUCACGGGAGACACACGGCGGGUGCUAACGUCCGUCGUGAAGAGGGAAACAACCCAGACCGCCAGCUAAGGUCCCAAAGUCAUGGUUAAGUGGGAAACGAUGUGGGAAGGCACAGACAGCCAGGAUGUUGGCUUAGAAGCAGCCAUCAUUUAAAGAAAGCGUAAUAGCUCACUGGUCGAGUCGGCCUGCGCGGAAGAUGUAACGGGGCUAAACCAUGCACCGAAGCUGCGGCAGCG
rnacentral:rRNA from 2 species